GACGAACGCUGGCGGCGUGCUUAACACAUGCAAGUCGAACGGAAAGGCCCUGCUUUUGUGGGGUGCUCGAGUGGCGAACGGGUGAGUAACACGUGAGUAACCUGCCCUUGACUUUGGGAUAACUUCAGGAAACUGGGGCUAAUACCGGAUAGGAGCUCCUGCUGCAUGGUGGGGGUUGGAAAGUUUCGGCGGUUGGGGAUGGACUCGCGGCUUAUCAGCUUGUUGGUGGGGUAGUGGCUUACCAAGGCUUUGACGGGUAGCCGGCCUGAGAGGGUGACCGGCCACAUUAGGACUGAGAUACGGCCCAGACUCCUACGGGAGGCAGCGGUGGGGAAUAUUACACAAUGGGCGGAAGCCUGAUGCAGCAACGCCGCGUGCGGGAUGACGGCCUUCGGGUUGUAAACCGCUUUCGCCUGUGACGAAGCGUGAGUGACGGUAAUGGGUAAAGAAGCACCGGCUAACUACGUG
rnacentral:rRNA from 1 species